UCCGCUUUAUUUUUGCAUUCU
rnacentral:piRNA from 1 species